CUGCAUCGAGUGGACUCAUUUUUGGCUACGACAUCGGAAUUUCAGGAGGUGUAACGACAAUGGCACCAUUUCUGAAGAAAUUCUUCCCAUCGGUACUGAGGAAGCAAUCAGAGGCCAAAACAAACAUGUAUUGCAUAUAUGAUAGCCAGGUUUUAACAGCAUUCACAUCAUCGCUAUACAUAGCAGGCUUAGCUGCUUCACUUGUAGCUAGUCGCCUCACCGCAGCAUUGGGCCGCAAGAACACCAUGGUGCUAGGUGGCUGCACUUUCCUUGCAGGCGCCGCCAUCAACGGUGGUGCUGCCAACAUCUCCAUGCUCAUCGUGGGCCGCAUCUUGCUUGGUUUUGGAGUUGGCUUCACCAACCAGGCAACUCCUGUUUACCUCUCAGAGGUAGCACCACCGAAAUGGCGGGGGGCAUUCAACACAGGCUUCCAGUUUUUCAUAGGCAUUGGGGUAGUAUCAGCCAACUGCAUAAAUUUUGGCACGGCUAAGCACACCUGGGGUUGGCGUCUCUCCCUUGGCCUUGCCAUCGUACCUGCAGCUAUAAUGACAAUGGGUGCACUCCUUAUCUCCGACACCCCUACUAGCCUGGUGGAGCGUGGCAAGCUUGAGCAAGCUCGAAAAUCUCUCAUCAAAGUCCGAGGAAGUGACACUAAUGUGGAUGCUGAGCUUGCUGAGCUUAUUAAAUCCAGUGAAGCGGGCAAAGCUGCUCAAGCAGAACCUUUUGUAACCAUAUUUGAGAGGCAGUAUAAGCCUCACCUAGUGAUGUCAAUUGCUAUACCUUUUUUCCAACAACUGACUGGGAUUAACAUAAUUGCAUUUUAUGCCCCUGUUCUUUUUCAAUCAGUUGGAUUUGGUAAUGAUUCAGCUUUAAUUGCAGCCAUAAUUCUGGGAUUAGUUAAUCUGGGUUCAAUCCUGGUGUCUACGGGCGUGGUCGAUCGAUACGGUCGAAGAUUCUUGUUCAUUGUUGGAGGGACUCAGAUGUUCAUCUGUCAGGUUGCAGUAGCUUGCGUGCUGGCGGCAACAACAGGGGUUUCAGGCACCAAACACAUCUACAAGGGCUAUGCCAUAUUAGUACUGGUUUUAAUGUGCAUCUACGCUGCUGGUUUUGGUUGGUCUUGGGGGCCUCUAAGCUGGCUGAUUCCAAGUGAAAUAUUCCCUAUGAAAAUUCGUCCCACAGGCCAAAGCAUAAGCGUAGCUGUAAAUUUCGCUACCACAUUUGUGCUCUCACAAACAUUCUUAACCAUGCUAUGUCACUUCAAAUAUGGAACUUUCCUGUUCUAUGCUGGUUGGAUUGCCAUGAUGACCAUAUUUGUUGUACUUUUCUUGCCGGAGACGAAGGGAAUUCCUUUGGAUUCCAUGUAUUCGGUGUGGGAGCGGCACUGGUACUGGCGCAGGUUCGUUCAAGGGCAGGUGUAGGCAAAAUCUUGCUGAACAAAUAUGAAAAUUAUCUGGUUCUAAUUAGCUGGGUACUAUUUUAUAAACAGCAAGUUUAUAAAGGUGCAAUAGAAUGACAAAUUUUAAAGCAUUUUAUAUUCAUGUUGCUCUGUUGAAGAGAAUAUUUUCAUAUACUAAUAUUUUAGGGUAAAUUAUUA
rnacentral:misc_RNA from 1 species